rnacentral:rRNA from 1 species
UACGGAGGGUGCAAGCGUUAUCCGGAUUCACUGGGUUUAAAGGGUGCGUAGGCGGAUAGGUAAGUCCGUGGUGAAAUCCUGCAGCUUAACUGCAGAACUGCCAUGGAUACUAUCUAUCUUGAAAUGUCGGUGGAGGUUAGCGGAAUAUGUCAUGUAGCGGUGAAAUGCUUAGAUAUGACAUAGAACACCCAUUGCGAAGGCAGCUAACUACGCGAUAAUUGACGCUGAUGCACGAAAGCGUGGGGAUCAAA